rnacentral:rRNA from 1 species
GACGAACGCUGGCGGCGUGCCUAAUACAUGCAAGUUGAGCGCUAAAGGCUGGUACUUGUACCAAGUGGAUGAGCAGCGAACGGGUGAGUAACGCGUGGGGAAUCUGCCUUUGAGCGGGGGACAACAUGGAGAAACGAAUGCUAAUACCGCAUAAGAACUUUAAACACAAGUUUGAAGGGUGAAAGAUGCAAUUGCAUCACGCAAAGAUGAUCCCGCGUUGUAUUAGCUUGUUGGUGAGGUAAAGGCUCACCAAGGCGAAGUUACAUAGCCGACCUGAGAGGGCGGGCGGCCGCCUUGGGACUGUGACCCGGCCCAAUCUCCUACGGGUGGCAGCCGUAGUGCAUCGUCGGCCAUCGGUGAAAGUCUUUCCGCGCUACGCCGCGUGCGUGUGGAGGGUCGUCGGGUCGUGAAUCUCUGUUUUUAGGGUAUAACGUGGUUGAGCGUGGGACGCUCCGUAAGUGACGGUAACUACCCAGGAAGCGACGGCUAACUACGUG